UGUCUUAACCAAGAUCCUCCACCCCUCUGUUUCUUUCCCAUUUCUAAGUUCGGACUCCAGUUUCUGGCAGACAGGGAAGUGCUGAAGACCGGAGCUUCCUCUUCUGUGACCAGGAGUCAGGGCACAGACUCCUUCCCUGUGUUCCCGCCAGAUCGCCAGGGGGCAGGCUGCUCCGGUAUCACGGAAGUCCGAUCCGGAGAAUAUCGCGCGCGUGAAAACCCAAGGUCCAAAGUAGGUGCUGUAUCCGCCACAGUGCACCGAAGGGGCCGGGUUCGCUCCGCGGUGCUCUUGAUCGCUUCCUGCCCUUAGGUCUGGAAGUCUCUGAGGCCCGGAAACCCCUGGCGGGCCCUGCAGACCAUUCUGUCUUUGUUGUCUUGGUUGGGCUGGUGAGAUCACUAGGCCUGAUUGACUACAGCGCCUUGAGCUCCUGCUGGGUUCUGGCUGCAUUUAGGUCUGUACCGCGUUGUCCACAGCCCGAGCAUUUGGUGAUGUUUUUCCUCGGAUCUAGGCUAUCGGUGGAGCAGGCGUGUGCUUUGCUGAGUCCCGCCACCUUGGGGAGGACCCCAAGAUUUGCAAAACAAAAGUAAACUGCGGGAGGGGAGGGCAUUUUCUGUGUCCCCAUCAACCAUCUACCAAGUAAGACUUGUACCUUGAGACAGGGAAAUCAGAGAGCAUUUGUGAUAGAGUGAUUCAUAUUUUAGACUUUUGGCCACUAGCCAGAGUUUGGUAUGAGUGCUUUAUCGCCCUCAGGUCCUCACUGUUAUUCUUUGAGAUGGUUAUUGGUCCACCAGAGCGCAGGUGCGGCAUGACAGAGGAAUCCUUAGGAGGCUCCUACAUUUUGGUAGGCAGGAGACCCUCCUCUGCGGCCCUUGUGUCCUUUGUGAGUAGAGACAGGAUCCAGGAGUGCCUGCACUUGUAACUCCUACUCCCCUUUCACCCCCACCCCCACUUCCCACCACCUUCUGCUCCUAUCCACCCAUCACACAAGAAGUCCAGAACUGUAGCAGUGAUCUGCUUGGGAAAUAGCCUGGUGUUCUGAAACUGAGGUGAGCAAGCAGGGGGAAAGAUUGUUGGUGAUCCCUGAGGCUGCCGAAAGGAGAAACAAAUGCAGAAAUGCUGCAAGCUAAAGCCACAGUAGAUUAGCUUCGUUUCUAUGUAGCCAGCCUGGUGUGGUGCUCACAGGUCCUCAACAGAUUGUGUUUGUUGAAGUGUUUAACUGGAUAAGGACACAAGGGAUGAUACACAGCUUGCAAGAAGAGGCAGAUAUCUUAGUUCCAGCUACUAGGGAGGCUGAGAAAAGAGGAUCACCUGAGGACAAGAGUUCAAGGCCAGCAUCAGGCAACCUCAGGGGAAAACCAGGAAAGAGAGAGAGAGAGAGAGAGAGAGAGAGAGAGAGAGAGAGAGAGCGCAACCAGCCUAGGCAGUAAAGUGUAAAAUGCUUUUCUUGCUUUGCAGUCAUGAGGACCUGAAUUUUAUCCCCAGAACCCAGAUAACAAUAGUCCGAUGUUCACUCUUCAUCAUUCUAGAGCUGGGGAGAUGAAGACAGGCUGGUCUCUGGGCCUCACUGGCUCAAAAGUCUAACCUAAUCUGCAAACUUUAGGGCCUAGUGAGAGACCCUGUCUCAAAAAAGCAAAUGUGGACAGCUCCCAGAAUGAUAUCAGAGGAUGUUCUUGGGCCUAUACACAGACAGACAGCACAGUCACACACACACACACACACACACACACACACACACACACACACACACACAAAACCCUUCAGCGGGCAUGUGCAUUUGUGUUUUGGCAGAUGUUCUGUCUUCCUCAGCAGGAAUCCACGGCACCUACUACCUGCACAGGCUCAGCCUCCACUCAGGACAUGGACAGUGGCUAUGGUGAUGGCCUGCAAGGAGAAUGCCUCAGAAAACCAGACCAGACGCAGCCCAAACUCUAUGGAGUAGGUGACCCCACGGCCACGUUCUCCUCUGACAGCUCCUGCCUGUCCUCCAGAGGAAGAGUCAUCAAAUGGUUCUGGGACUCGGCUGAGGAGGGCUACAGGACCUACCACAUGGAUGAGUAUGACGAGGACAAGAACCCCAGUGGCAUCAUUAACUUGGGCACCAGUGAAAACAAACUCUGCUUUGACCUUCUGUCCUGGCGGCUGACACAGGGUGACAUGCUUCAUGUGGAACCAUCUCUGCUGCAGUACCCUGACUGGAGAGGACAUUUGUUCCUCCGGGAAGAAGUGGCAAAGUUCUUGUCUUUCUAUUGUAAGAGCCCGGCACCCCUGAAACCAGAGAAUGUGGUUGUUCUGAAUGGCUGUGCCUCUCUCUUUUCCGCUCUGGCCACAGUGCUGUGUGAGGCAGGGGAGGCUCUCUUGAUCCCCACACCUUACUACGGAGCCAUCACUCAGCACAUCUAUCUCUAUGGCAACGUCCGACUGGCUUAUGUCUACCUAGACAGCAAGGUAACUGGAUUGAAUACACGCCCCUUCCAGCUCACCGUAGAGAAGCUGGAGAUGGUCCUGCAAGGAGUCAGUUCUGAGGGUGUCAAGGUCAAAGGCCUUAUCCUCAUCAACCCCCAAAACCCUCUGGGUGACGUCUACUCCCCGGAAGAGCUGCAGGACUUUCUGAGAUUUGCCAUGAGGCACAAGCUGCACGUGAUCAUGGAUGAGGUUUACAUGCUCUCUGUGUUUGAAGAGUCCCUUGGCUACCGCAGUGUCCUCAGCCUGGAGAGGCUGCCUGACCCCCAGAGGACACACGUGAUGUGGGCCACCAGCAAGACUGGAUCAGCCAGGUGUACCUGCCAGAAAACCAUGCCCGGCUCAAGGCUGCCCACACCUAUGUCUCAGAGGAACUCAGAGCCCUGGGGAUCCCCUUUGUGAGUCGCGGGGCAGGCUUCUUCAUCUGGGUUGACUUGAGAAAGUAUCUGUGCAAAGGCACCUUUGAGGAGGAGGCGUUAUUGUGGCGCCAAUUUUUGGACAACAAGGUGCUGCUGUCCUCCGGUAAGACCUUUGAGUGCAAAGAACCCGGCUGGUUCCGCGUGGUCUUCUCGGACAAGGAGAACCGGCUUCGCCUGGGAAUGCAAAGGAUGCGGCAGGUGCUUGAAGGACAAUCUCAAGUGGUAGAAGAUGCCUCUCCCUGUCACGCUCAGGAACCACAAAGCCAGCCCAGAUGAGCUGCCCAUUGCCUCUCACUGUUCCUGUGACCUGGCCCUGUGGGGCUACAGGAGACUGAGUGUGGAUGCGCCAUUUGUCAGUGGGACUCACGACUUGGCUUUGACCUUGAAGGACUUUUUCCUGCCCUCUGCUGACAGUGGGAGUCUGUUUAAACUGAUAUUCAUCUUGGGCUGUUGCUGCCCUGUAUUCAACAGGAUUAGGAUCAGCAGGAUGACUUUGUGAACAGUGUACAGUUUGGAGAGUCGUGACUGCUCCUAAUUACAGCUCCUUUCUAGGAUACAAGAGUGAAAAAGCAACUCUUCAUUCUUUGUGAUGGUGCCUUCCUGCCUCUUUCCUUGUUUCCAGGGAAACAAGCCAGAGGAUCAGCACACCGCGCACGUACACACACACACACACACACACACACACACACACACACACACACGAUAGCAUUCCAAGGAUGUUAUUCCAAAGCAUGUUCCAAUGGAUGGAAUGAAUUCUGUUUAUUCAGGUCUUUGGAGGCCCGGACAGGCCUCAGCUUGGGAUGUAGAGAGAAAUACUUCAUGGUGGGCGUUAGGAAGAUCUUCUUGGUGGAGCUGAAAUGCCUGGAUCAAGUUCUGGGAUUCACUUCUUACCUGGGAAGGAGAUGCCUUUAUUGCUGUUCCCGAAGAUAUGGCCUAGCAAUGGCUAGGGAAGGGGAAGGGACAGGAGGCUAUAUUUCUGAACCAAGGCUGUCUGGGGGCCAGGCAAAGAUUGGUCUUUCUGUGCUAAGAAAGCCUACGAAGGAGCUGCCUGUUCCAUUUGAGGGGUGCGUUAGUGAAGAUCCCAAAUGAAUGUCUGGUUGGUGGCCUGCAUGUACAGUACCUAGAGUCACAGCUGCAAGAGUAGCUGAGGCAGGAGGAUUACUUGCACCUGUAAGUUUGAGAUCAACCUGGGCAGGAGUCACAGAUGCAACAUAAACAGUGGAAAUCAGAAAAUUACUCCUGACCCCAGAAUGAACCCACUACAAGUGUGUCAGUGAAAACAGCAUAGCCCAGGCUGACCCAGACAGUCAGCCCAGGCUGGCCCAGACAGUCAGUUGUGCCUUGCAGGCGCCCUUCGCUGUGCUCAGGAUAUCCUCUCGCAGAUGAGGAAACUUAGUCUUAGAUGAAAUAAUAUUCCAAACCUCACAGCUACACACUCAAGGACCCAAGUGAGAGUAGUUUGCCUUGGUUCAGAAUCUGUGUGUGGUGGGUUGGAGAGAUGGCUCAGAGCUUAAGAACAUUUGCUUUUCUUCUGAGGACUUGAGUUCCCAUGGUGGGGCUCAUAACCAUCUGUAACUCCAGUUCUAGGGAUCUAAUUCCCCCUCUGGCCCUGUGGGCACUGUAUACACAUGUGCGCGCGCACACACACACACACACACAAAGCCAUAAAAAGGAAUCACAUGUGUACUGUUUAUUUGUGCGUUGCUUUCUGCUGUUUUCUUGGUUGGUCUGUAGAUUGCCUAUAUUUUCUGUUUUGUUUUUCUCUGUCAUUAGUUUAAUUUUCUUCCUUUUCUUAGAUUUUUUUUUUUUUGAUUUCCCCUCUUCAUCUUCUACUCAUUUUACCAUAUGCUGUAUUUUCCUGCUGGCUGUUAUCCUAGAAUAUAACACCUACAAACAAUUUGUUAAUAGGAAAGCAAACAUGCCUCAGCUUUCCCUAUAGCAAUGGGAGACCCCAAAUCCCUGGUGACCCCUGGC